rnacentral:rRNA from 1 species
AUUGAACGCUGGCGGCAGGCCUAACACAUACAAGUCGAGCGGAUGAAGGGAGCUUGCUCCUGGAUUCAGCGGCGGACGGGUGAGUAAUGCCUAGGAAUCUGCCUGGUAGUGGGGGAUAACGUCCGGAAACGGGCGCUAAUACCGCAUACGUCCUGAGGGAGAAAGUGGGGGAUCUUCGGACCUCACGCUAUCAGAUGAGCCUAGGUCGGAUUAGCUAGUUGGUGGGGUAAAGGCCUACCAAGGCGACGAUCCGUAACUGGUCUGAGAGGAUGAUCAGUCACACUGGAACUGAGACACGGUCCAGACUCCUACGGGAGGCAGCAGUGGGGAAUAUUGGACAAUGGGCGAAAGCCUGAUCCAGCCAUGCCGCGUGUGUGAAGAAGGUCUUCGGAUUGUAAAGCACUUUAAGUUGGGAGGAAGGGCAGUAAGUUAAUACCUUGCUGUUUUGACGUUACCAACAGAAUAAGCACCGGCUAACUUCGCG